GACGAACGCUGGCGGCGUGCUUAACACAUGCAAGUCGAACGGAAAGGCCCUGCUUUUGUGGGGUGCUCGAGUGGCGAACGGGUGAGUAACACGUGAGUAACCUGCCCUUGACUUUGGGAUAACUUCAGGAAACUGGGGCUAAUACCGGAUAGGAGCUCCUGCUGCAUGGUGGGGGUUGGAAAGUUUCGGCGGUUGGGGAUGGACUCGCGGCUUAUCAGCUUGUUGGUGGGGUAGUGGCUUACCAAGGCUUUGACGGGUAGCCGGCCUGAGAGGGUGACCGGCCGCAUGGGGACUGAGGUACGGACCAGGCGCCUACGGGAGGCAGCAGGGGGGAAUAUUGCACAAUGGGCGGAAGUCUGAUACAGCAACGCCGCGUGCGGGAUGACGGCCUUCGGGUUGUAAACCGCUUUCGCCUGUGACGAAGCGUGAGUGACGGUAAUGGGUAAAAAAGCAACGGCUAACUACGUG
rnacentral:rRNA from 1 species